rnacentral:lncRNA from 1 species
GGCUGCUGUCCAACCCCAUAGCAUGACAAGACUGGGGUAGGUACCAUCCUCCCUGUCCUGCUGGCAUGGCAGGGAUGUUCAGGUGUGGAGCCUGAAGGGAGCUGUGCUCUACAGUGGGACAAGGCUCCUGCUGGUGAACUGCUGGGAGCACCAAACUUCGGAGCAAGAAGCUUGGAGACAAGCUGUCCAGAAGUUAUAUUGGAUUAAUUUGACAGAUACAGAAGAAAUCAGGGGUGAAUCCUGCCAGGUGCUUGGUGCCCCUGAUUCACUCAAGCAGAAGACACUUGUCAUCAUGUUGUCUGGUGCUCAGCAUCUCCACCAGCACAGGCUUUCUGCACAGUUUUUCUCUAAGGUAAACAGACUUAUUGACUAGGCAUUUUCUCAU